AGGUUAUGUGUCGUGAAAACUUUGUCGACUAUCAGCAGUGUUAAGAAAUUGUUAAAUAAUAACGAAAAUUGUGUUUUAUGUGGUGGAAUAAUAGUAUUUUGAGCAAAAAUAAAGUUGCUCAUGAAUCACUCAUCCCCCAAUGAAAAGGAGCAGCCAGCAUAAUUAAAUGUAGCUGUGACGUGAAACAAAAAUUUUCUGUUUUUUUUUUUUUUUUUUCACUGGUAAAAUUUUUAUUUACUUUCAAACUUAUUAAUUAGAAAAUUUUUAAAGCUUGUGGUCGAAGAAGAAACAAAUCGAACGUCAUGGGCAAAUUCCUUUUUGCAAAUUCAGAAGGAAGUCGAGCACUUUUACCAAAAAUGAGUUCAUGAGGGGUGUAUCCAGUGCCUUCAUGUCUGGAUGUAUUGUACGAGAAAAUCGCGUAAGGUAACGGACCAACGAUGUCCAUUUCAAUUUUCUCGAAUGCUUCGGAUGGAGUAUCUGUAAUGGACAUAGGUUGUCGGGUUUUUACUCGGACAAGCUUGUUUAAUUUACAAGCUUCACAAUUUCUAACGAAAUCUCGGAUAGAAUUUCGCAUAUUGGGCCAAUAAAAAUUUUCUUUUAUUCUUUCCAAGGUUUUUAUUGCGCCUUUGUGGCCACCUGAAGUAGAAGAAUGAUAUUCGCUAAUAAUACCGGAUUCCACAGUAGGCCAUGAUACACGAUUCAAUCCGUUACCAACACGAGAAAUGCUGACUGAAUUUAUUUUCAAUUCAUCCAUACUGAAUUUCAAUCCUAGAAGAGAUGAGGAUAUAUCUGAAAAUUCAAUUUUGGAAUCGAAUGUUGGCUUCACAACUAAAUUGAAAAUAAAGGAAUUUUCAUGUUUGAAUGCGAUUGCGUUACCAACUUCCAUCAAGUUUUCGUCAGCUUUUAGUGUGUUGCAUGGGAGGAUCUCACUAUGAGUUUGGGCAUCUGGUCCCAGUUACGUAGGUGCAGUAAGGAAGAAGCAGAAGAAGGUGCAGACGUAGGUUACAUACAUCAGGUAGGUAGCUCUCACACACUUCUGGCUCUUCUUCUCUUUUUUGUAUUCUUCUUCUUCUUCUCCUUCUUCACAUCCCUCGUCACCAACAUUGGACCCGAGAAGAGGUUCCACAGGCCCCGUGUCGUCGCGGGCAUUCCUGGAGCUGAUUUUAUUUGUAGGAUGUCAACUAGUUAGACAGAGAGGAUGAGGAAAAAGAAAGAGUGAAAAGAAUGUUAGAAAGAGGGACAGAAUGUUAGGUUGGUAACGUGGCCAUGAUGGCAUCGGCAUAAAAGAGGAUGAGGAUGGGACCCGAAGUGGACAGGACCAAACGGCAAUUAAUUCCUUUUUAGAUUUAUUGUGUCUAACGUCGAUGAGACCACCGGAUCCUAUUACCCAACCAAUGAUUUUCAGCCUCUGCUACCUCGAGACGCGAGUCGUGCCAAUCACUUGAAAUGCUUUAGGAGACCCGGACCCAUAAUCGUACCCAACAACUUGGUGGUCUAAUUAUUCAACUUGCAAGAGUCCUUGCCUUCCACUUAUUUAACCCAGUUCUCCUGCAACUAACGAAGAGGAAAAUUAAUUCUGUAAAUUAUUUUAAUUCAAGAAACUUAACAGUUUCUACUUUCCUAUGUUCAGCAACUCGAUAAAACAGGACUGUUGCUCUCUCAGUGCAAAACUUUUUUUCAGAAUAACCUACGGACGUUCGGUUCACUAACCUCAUCAGUCUUUUAAAUACAAGUGAUAGAAGGGCUUUUAAAAAUUAAACGGAUUCGCUUGAAUCAUCUUUAAAUAACAAAGUCAUUUAUAGAAAAUAUUACUAUUUAUUUUUUAGUUUUUUAAGGAAUUUUUAUUAUAAUAAUUUACUUGUAAUAUAUGAGGUAUAAUAUAAUUUAUGUAGUGACUAAUAGCAUCAAAUUGCAACGUAUCCAGAUAACAUGAGUUACAUCAUUAUAUGAGACAUUUUCUAAGAAAAAUGUUACACUAAAUUUAUUUGAUUGACUGAAUACUUUGGUAAAUUAUUGUUCUAAUAAAAGAAAUAACAAAUCUGACAAAUAUUUGUACAUUUAAAAAAAAAUUAUAGUAAGUAGUAGAGGUUAAUAUUUAAUUUAUAAAUAUGUAUUUUAAAUAGAUUUUUCAGGGUUAAUUUUGAAAAAAAAAUUUCUGACAUUGAGAACUACUUGAAAAAUCCUUCAAAAGGCUUUAUUUACAAAUUAAAAUUCAUAAAAUUUUAUCAAAACUAUAUAUGGAUCUGAAAAUAACAGUGCUACUUAGUAUGUCAAAAUUUCAACCCCUACUACUUUCUUUAAUUUAUAGGGUUCCAAAGUCGUUAGGAACCCUAUUAAAAUCACUUUGAUAGUAUAUAGGGUAAAACCGGGAUAGAUGGCCAUACUUUUUUUAAAUGUCGGUAAGAAUAAAACGGAAGCAGUCUCGGAAGCAAUUUAUGUAUUAAUUUUUAUUGAUAAUUAAAAAGUGAACAUUAUACUUUGAAAAAACAAAAAAUUAUUUAUAAAAUUGUAAUGAUAACAAUUUGAAAAUGAAUGUUUCUUAAAAAAAUUCAAUUGGCUAUCUCUCCUGAAAUGUACAGGUUCAUAUUUUAAUAUAUUAGUUUGACAUAUUCUUAGUAACUUUGCAAGUUUUUUGAUACAACUAAUCCGAUACAAAAGAAUAAAUUAGCUUCAAACAUUAAUAAUUAUAAAUUUUUAAUUGAAAGUUUAAACUUGGGUUAAUUGGUUGGAACAAGUUGAUCUUAACAGUAAAAUAUGAUAUAAAAUUUUUGUAAUUGAAAAAAAAUAAUGUGACCUACACUGUUAAAAAUGUUCGUAAAUUUACAACAUUUUUAAUAUACCAAUAUAUAUUAAAUUUAAGAAACUGUACUUUGAAUUAUAUUAAGAUCCCUUUUUGUGGUAAUAUUAAUAUAUUGGUGUCUUAAUCCUGAUGUUUGUAAAUUUAAUAUACUUUUAAUAUACCACGGUAUAUUAACUUUAAAAUACAUGUACUCUAAGUUAAUGUAAUGUACAUCUAUAUAUAGUAAUAUUAAUACAUUAGUGUAUUAAUGCUUUAUUUAUCCUAAAUUUGUACGUGUCUUAUAUGUUUAAAAGAGUAGUUAUUUUAAUGAUUUAUUUUCAACUUUUACGUUUUGCAUUGAAUCAAAAAUUUAUUUGAUUAAAAUAUUUGAUAUCAUUAAAUAUCACAGAAAAAACCUGGUUUCAAAUUAAGUAUAAAUUCCAUACUCAAUUUGAUUCGCAGCAAAAAUGAAACUGGGAUAAUUAUCAAAUUAAAUAUGGAAUUUUAUUCAUACUCAAUUUGAAACUAGGUUUUUUCAGUGAUUAAUCGACUAUUUGAU